GACGAACGCUGGCGGCGUGCUUAACACAUGCAAGUCGAACGAAGUGGCGAACGGGUGAGUAAUACGUGGUUAACCUGCCCUCCUUUUUGGGAUAAGCCUUGAAAACGGGGUCUAAUACCUGAUACAGGGGGAUGGGCUCGCGGCGUAUCGGCUUGUUGGUGGGGUGAUGGCCUACCAAGGCGGUGCCGGGUAGCCGGCCUGAGCGGGUGACCAGCCACACUGGAACUGAGACACGGCCCAGACUCCUACGGGAGGCAGCAGUGGGGAAUCUUGGACAAGGGGCGAAAGCCUGAUGCAGCAAUGCCGCGUGUGUGAAGAAGGCUUUCGGGUUGUAAAGCUCUGUUAUUGGGGAGGCGGUAUUUAAAGAGGAAGCAACGGCUAACUACGUGCCAGCAGCCGCGGUAAUUC
rnacentral:rRNA from 1 species